AUUUAAUUUCUAUGUUUUCCCCUCUCUGUCUCCCUGACCCUAUAUUUUAAUUCUUCCCUCUUUGUCCUGUACCCAGUUGCUUGAGACUGGCUGGGCAUCGGUCAGUUGGUGGUUUCUUAUAGGCACCCUUUACAUACCAUGAAGUCUGCUAUAAGGUCUCCUGCAAAGCUGCAUGCCAGUGAGCGGUCCGAGAAGAUGUUGAAGACCAAUGUGUCACCUUGAGGAACAUCCCAGUUAGCCUGUGUGGUUUUUGUGGAGGAUGGACUCAGCCCCUCGGCCCUCUGAAAGCUACGUUGAGGGACCAGGGCUGGGGAGAGGCUGGGAGGAAGGGACAAAGCUGGGAAUUGCAGGGAGGGAGGGGUUUUAAAGUUAGCGCAGGAGAGAGGGCUGUCCCAAAGCAGUCCCCUUUAGGCAGGCAAAGGGAGCGGGUUGCUUUUCAGCGCGAGACC